rnacentral:rRNA from 1 species
CCUACGGGAGGCAGCAGUGGGGAAUAUUGCACAAUGGGGGAAACCCUGAUGCAGCGACGCCGCGUGAGUGAAGAAGUAAUUCGUCACGUAAAGCUCUAUCAGCAGGGAAGAAAAUGACGGUACCUGAGUAAGCAGCCCCGGCUAACUACGUGCCAGCAGCCGCGGUAAUACGUAGGGGGCAAGCGUUAUCCGGAUUUACUGGGUGUAAAGGGGGCGUAGACGGCAUUGCAAGCCUGGAGUGAAAGGCGGGGGCUCAACCCCCGGACUGCUCUGGAAACUGUGCGGCUGGAGUGCAGGAGAGGAAAGUGGAAUUCCUAGUGUAGCGGUGAAAUGCGUAGAUAUUAGGAGGAACACCAGUGGCGAAGGCGGCUUGCUGGACUGUAACUGACGUUGAGGCUCGAAAGCGUGGGGAGCAAACAGGAUUAGAUACCCCGGUAGUC